rnacentral:rRNA from 1 species
GAUGAACGCUGGCGGCGUGCCUAAUACAUGCAAGUCGAGCGAACAGAUGAGGAGCUUGCUCCUCUGACGUUAGCGGCGGACGGGUGAGUAACACGUGGAUAACCUACCUAUAAGACUGGGAUAACUUCGGGAAACCGGAGCUAAUACCGGAUAAUAUAUUGAACCGCAUGGUUCAAUAGUGAAAGACGGUUUUGCUGUCACUUAUAGAUGGAUCCGCGCCGCAUUAGCUAGUUGGUAAGGUAACGGCUUACCAAGGCAACGAUGCGUAGCCGACCUGAGAGGGUGAUCGGCCAGACUGGAACUGAGACACGGUCCAGACUCCUACGGGAGGCAGCAGUAGGGAAUCUUCCGCAAUGGGCGAAAGCUUGACGGAGCAACGCCGCGUGAGUGAUGAAGGUCUUCGGAUCGUAAAACUCUGUUAUUAGGGAAGAACAAAUGUGUAAGUAACUAUGCACGUCUUGACGGUACCUAAUCAGAAAGCCACGGCUAACUACGUG